GGUAUGUGAUGUCUGCACUCGGGGAUGUAGCAUGGAGGAGUAUGUGGCAGUGGUACAUAGAGCUUGAGAGUGGGAGACAUGGGUGAACAAGGAGCUGCUGUGAUGCUCAGCACAUGAGCUGAUAUGCUAAUGAGGAAGAAACAUCGCACUGUUUGGAUAAUGCUCGUUCAGAGUUUACUCCGGCUUCUCUCCUGGGUCCUCACAUCACUAGACUUUCCUCUACAGUGGUCUCCUCAGCACCACUGUCCACAUCCCAUGCACGCAACUGGCUCAUAGCUCUCUUCUGCAGUAUGACUGACAACAGCUUGGCUCUGAAGGCUUCCCUUCCUCCUGUCUCAGUCUGGAAAGAUAGAUAAAAGGCCCAGCCAAAGUGUCCUGUGCUCAGCUGGCAGAAGUUAUUUGAUAUGAAGCUAUUUGGCUUGUUGAGCUCACCAGACUGGCUUCAUUCAUCAACAAGAUGUUCCAUAUCCUUGAUAUUGGGAUGGAUAUGUAAAUACUUGUUUACAGAAUUUACAGGAGUCUCCAGGUUUGACAAUGGAGAUGACAACUUUUAAAGAUUAAUUGAAAAUGAGUAGAAAAUGUCUUGUGGAUGUUUUAAAAUGCCAAUUUCAAUCACUUUUGAAGUUUAAGAAUCAU